rnacentral:rRNA from 1 species
CCUACGGGUGGCAGCAGUGAGGAAUAUUGGUCAAUGGCCGGAAGGCUGAACCAGCCAUGCCGCGUGAAGGUCAGUGCCCUUUGGGCGUUAAACUUCUUUUGUGCGGGAGCAAUAAUGGUCACGUGUGGCCAGACGAGAGUACCGUACGAAUAAGCAUUGGCUAACGCCGUGCCAGCAGCCGCGGUAAUACGGGGGAUGCAAGCGUUAUCCGGAAUUAUUGGGUUUAAAGGGUGCGUAGGCUGGGAGGUAAGUCAGCGGUGAAAUGCCCCCGGUCAACGGGGUGAAGUGCAAUUGAUACUGGCUGGCUGGAAUGCGGAUGCGGUGGGAGGAAUGUGUGGUGUAGCGGUGAAAUGCAUAGAUAUCACACAGAACACCGAUUGCGAAGGCAUUUCACGAAUCCGCGAUUGACGCUGAUGCACGAAAGCGUGGGUAUCAAACAGGAUUAGAUACCCCAGUAGUC